rnacentral:piRNA from 1 species
UCUCAUGACGAUCUCGGUACCUGAGGAACU